AUUGAACGCUGGCGGCAGGCUUAACACAUGCAAGUCGAACGAGUGGCGGACGGGUGAGUAAUGCUUGGGAAUCUGGCUUAUGGAGGGGGAUAACGACGGGAAACUGUCGCUAAUACCGCGUACCAAGGGAUGAGCCCAAGUGGGAUUAGGUAGUUGGUGGGGUAAUGGCAUAACAAGCCGACGAUUGCUAGCUGGUCUGAGAGGAAGAUCAGCCACACUGUGACUGAGACACGGCCCAGACUCCUACGGUAGGCAGCAGUGGGGAAUGUUGGACAAUGGGCGCAAGCCUGAUCCAGCCAUGCCGCGUGUCUGAAGAAGGCCUUCGGGUUGUAAAGGACUUUUGUCAGGGAAGCGGUACCUGAAGAAUAAGCACCGGCUAACUACGUGCAAGCAGCCGCGGUAAUAC
rnacentral:rRNA from 1 species